rnacentral:lncRNA from 1 species
GGUUAGACCCCCGCUGGGGGAUUAGCGGGCGGCGAGGGCCGCCGGCACGCGAUCCGCCCUCAGAGCCCCGCGGGCUGCGAUCAAACUGGGUCCCAGAGUCCGUGGGAGCGGGGGUCGGGGGCGGCAGCUCGCAGGACGUUCCCGGCGCGGCGCUGGGGGACGCGAGCCAGAUGAGGAAACCAGAAGUUCAGAGAGGGAAAGAAAGUUCACCAUGGGAAUUUCAGACUGUCUGAUGCAAAUGACUCAAAGCCUGACUGGAACUGGUUUAUGGGAAGAAGGGAACUUACUGGCUCAUUAAACUGAAAAAUCUAGGCAUGGCUGGAUCUGGAGACCCAAAAAUAUCAGAAUGACUCCUUUUUCCAAAUCUCUCCACUGUGUCUUCGCUGUCCUAGGGUCGUAUUUGGGCUUGAUCAGUGCUCUGUGGCUGCACAUUCAUAACCCAAGUUUUAUUUCAGUUGAAAGAGGCUCCCUUUUUGAUAAUUGCAACACAGGUCUCAGGAUCCACUCUAGUUGGACAGUAGGGGACAUGGGACCAUACUGAUAAAAGGUUCAGGGCAGGAAGAAUUUAGUUGAUUGGCAGGUCUGGUCACAGGCCCCACACCUAGAGGCUCCACUGUAUGAGUGGGGUGAAAGAGUUGCAGGAAUAAGAGAGAUGGGCAGUGGGUGCCAGCUGCUAACUCAACCUGUGCCCUCCAUGCUGAGGUUGCAAGGUUACACAGUUGGAGAGAGGUGGGGGCUGGGCUGGAGCCCUGGCAGCCCGACUCUUGACACCCACAUCCUGACUCCUUUCGCCUUUACUACAGGUGCCAGCAUCCUCAGACUGGAGAGUGAUGCUCCCUCCCUAGAGAGAGCCCACUCCUUCUUUGCUGCUACCACAUCAGGCCUCACCACAUCCCGUGCCCAUCUGCCUCCAGCCCUGCCUCCUGGUGGUCCCUGGAGGGUCCUGGAAGCCCUUCUGGUAGCUGCAGCCUGGCUCUAUCCGCCGUGCUGCCAAAGGCCAUGGUCUUGCUGGGCUGCCCAGGAUGGUGUCAGAUCCCUGGGCUCAAGAGAUCCUCCUGCCUCAACCUCCUGAGUACUGAGACUACUGGUUCCCCACCCAGGCCUGAGUCCAGAGCCACCAGCAACAAAUGGCCACAGGCUGCAUCUGUUGCCCCAGAAGUUGCCAUGAAGCCGCCGAUGGUUGGGAUGGAGAUGAGGAUUUCUCAGCUGGUCCCUUGCAUGGACAUAUAUGGAGUUUAACAAUCUGCUUUCUCAUUUGUGAUUCCUUCAUAAAGAGACCCCCAUUUUAAGAGAAUUACAGCAUCCUGCAACGAUCCAUUCUUUGGGCCUGACUUCUGUGCCCCAUGUUUCCUCAGCCUUC